rnacentral:rRNA from 1 species
UGGGGAAUCUUCCGCAAUGGGCGCAAGCCUGACGGAGCAACGCCGCGUGAGUGAAGAAGGCCUUCGGGUCGUAAAGCUCUGUCUUUAGGGAAGAAAACUUAGGGUGUGAAUAAUGCCUUAAUCUGACGGUACCUAAGGAGGAAGCUCCGGCUAACUACGUGCCAGCAGCCGCGGUAAUACGUAGGGAGCAAGCGUUGUCCGGAAUUACUGGGCGUAAAGGGCGCGUAGGCGGGAUAUUAAGUUAGGUGUGAAAACUCCGGGCUCAACUUGGAGAGUGCACUUAAAACUGGUAUCCUUGAGGACAGGAGAGGAAAGUGGAAUUCCUAGUGUAGCGGUGAAAUGCGUAGAUAUUAGGAGGAACACCAGUGGCGAAGGCGACUUUCUGGACUGUAACUGACGCUGAGGCGCGAAAGCGUGGGGAGUGAACG